UCUAUAGGUGUCGCUGUUGUUAUGGUGUCUAUAAAUGUUUUGUUUACUUAAAUUGUCGUGGUUGCAUCCCUUUUUUUUUCUUUGUUAAACUAAUAUCUUUUGUAUUAUGACGACAAUCUUGUUCCAUCGACUCAGUUUCUCUUGUCAACUUUACUUAUGUAUAAUGAUUUUCAUUUGAUUUGGCUAUGUAAUAAUGAAGUUCCUUCGUAUGGAAAUGUUCCUUUUUAAUGCCCACAGUGCAUAUUGUACUAUUUUAUCUCCAUGCAAGAAGGAUUGGGAUCUUUAGGAUGUGUAAAACAAUCUGUCUACAUUCAAGACCAAUAAGGCAUGCAUAUUCUAGAGAAACAUCCGUGUAAGUGCUUGUGAAUUUUUUAGAAAAUGUUUAUAUAUAUGUAAAAG
rnacentral:lncRNA from 1 species